UCGGGAAUUUUGGGCAAUGGGCGAAAGCCUGACCCAGCAACGCCGCGUGAAGGAUGAAGUAUUUCGGUAUGUAAACUUCGAAAGAAUAGGAAGAAUAAAUGGCGGUACUAUUUAUAAGGUCCGGCUAACUACGUGCCAGCAGCCGCGGUAAUACGUAGGGACCAAGCGUUGUUCGGAUUUACUGGGCGUAAAGGGCGCGUAGGCGGCAAUUCAAGUCAUCUGUGAAAUCUCCGGGCUUAACUCGGAACGGUCAGAUGAUACUGCUUUGCUAGAGUGCAGAAGGGGCAAUCGGAAUUCUUGGUGUAGCGGUGAAAUGCGUAGAUAUCAAGAGGAACACCUGAGGUGAAGACGGGUUGCUGGGCUGACACUGACGCUGAGGCGCGAAAGCCAGGGGAGCAAACGGGAUUAGAUACCCCCGUAGUCCCUGAGCGGGCUGGCAAGGCGCAU
rnacentral:rRNA from 1 species